GGUGGAUUGGCGUAAUGGCAACGCGUUAGUUUCCGGUGGAGCACCAGCUAAAGAUUGCGAGUUCGAGUCUCGCAUCCAUCG